UACGUAGGGUGCAAGCGUUAAUCGGAAUUACUGGGCGUAAAGCGUGCGCAGGCGGUUUUGUAAGUCUGUUGUGAAAUCCCCGGGCUUAACCUGGGAAUUGCAAUGGAGACUGCAAGGCUAGAAUCUGGCAGAGGGGGGUAGAAUUCCACGUGUAGCAGUGAAAUGCGUAGAGAUGUGGAGGAACACCGAUGGCGAAGGCAGCCCCCUGGGUCAAGAUUGACGCUCAUGCACGAAAGCGUGGGGAGCAAACAGG
rnacentral:rRNA from 1 species